GGUGGGGAUGACGUCAAGUCAUCAUGGCCCUUACGACCAGGGCUACACACGUGCUACAAUGGCGCAUACAAAGAGAAGCGACCUCGCGAGAGCAAGCGGACCUCAUAAAGUGCGUCGUAGUCCGGAUUGGAGUCUGCAACUCGACUCCAUGAAGUCGGAAUCGCUAGUAAUCGUGGAUCAGAAUGCCACGGUGAAUACGUUCCCGGGCCUUGUACACACCGCCCGUCACACCAUGGGAGUGGGUUGCAAAAGAAGUAGGUAGCUUAACCUUCGGGAGGGCGCUUACCACUUUGUGAUUCAUGACUGGGGUGAAGUCGUAACAAGGUAACCGUAGGGGAACCUGCGGUUGGAUCACCUCCUUACCUGAAAGAA
rnacentral:rRNA from 1 species